AACGAACGCUGGCGGCAUGCCUAACACAUGCAAGUCGAACGAGACCUUCGGGUCUAGUGGCGCACGGGUGCGUAACGCGUGGGAACCUGCCCUUAGGUUCGGAAUAACUCCCCGAAAGGGGUGCUAAUACCGGAUAAUGUCUUCGGACCAAAGAUUUAUCGCCUUUGGAUGGGCCCGCGUUGGAUUAGCUAGUUGGUAGGGUAAAAGCCUACCAAGGCGACGAUCCAUAGCUGGUCUGAGAGGAUGAUCAGCCACACUGGGACUGAGACACGGCCCAGACUCCUACGGGAGGCAGCAGUGGGGAAUAUUGGACAAUGGGCGAAAGCCUGAUCCAGCAAGGCCGCGUGAGUGAUGAAGGCCUGAGGGUUGUAAAGCUCUUUUACCCGGGAUGAUAAUGACAGUACCGAGAGAAUAAGCACCGGCUAACUCCGUG
rnacentral:rRNA from 1 species